rnacentral:rRNA from 1 species
UACGUAGGGUGCGAGCGUUAAUCGGAAUUACUGGGCGUAAAGCGUGCGCAGGCGGUUUUGUAAGCCCGAUGUGAAAGCCCCGGGCUUAACCUGGGAAUGGCAUUUGGGACUGCAAGGCUAGAGUGCGGCAGAGGAGACUGGAAUUCCUGGUGUAGCAGUGAAAUGCGUAGAUAUCAGGAGGAAUACCGAUGGCGAAGGCAGGUCUCUGGGCUGACACUGACGCUCAUGCACGAAAGCGUGGGGAGCAAACAGG